rnacentral:rRNA from 1 species
AACGCUAGCUACAGGCUUAACACAUGCAAGUCGAGGGGCAGCAUGGUCUUAGCUUGCUAAGGCCGAUGGCGACCGGCGCACGGGUGAGUAACACGUAUCCAACCUGCCGUCUACUCUUGGACAGCCUUCUGAAAGGAAGAUUAAUACAAGAUGGCAUCAUGAGUCCGCAUGUUCACAUGAUUAAAGGUAUUCCGGUAGACGAUGGGGAUGCGUUCCAUUAGAUAGUAGGCGGGGUAACGGCCCACCUAGUCUUCGAUGGAUAGGGGUUCUGAGAGGAAGGUCCCCCACAUUGGAACUGAGACACGGUCCAAACUCCUACGGGAGGCAGCAGUGAGGAAUAUUGGUCAAUGGGCGAGAGCCUGAACCAGCCAAGUAGCGUGAAGGAUGACUGCCCUAUGGGUUGUAAACUUCUUUUAUAAAGGAAUAAAGUCGGGUAUGGAUACCCGUUUGCAUGUACUUUAUGAAUAAGGAUCGGCUAACUCCGUGCCAGCAGCCGCGGUAAUACGGAGGAUCCGAGCGUUAUCCGGAUUUAUUGGGUUUAAAGGGAGCGUAGAUGGAUGUUUAAGUCAGUUGUGAAAGUUUGCGGCUCAACCGUAAAAUUGCAGUUGAUACUGGAUAUCUUGAGUGCAGUUGAGGCAGGCGGAAUUCGUGGUGUAGCGGUGAAAUGCUUAGAUAUCACGAAGAACUCCGAUUGCGAAGGCAGCCUGCUAAGCUGCAACUGACAUUGAGGCUCGAAAGUGUGGGUAUCAAACAGGAUUAGAUACCCUGGUAGUCCACACGGUAAACGAUGAAUACUCGCUGUUUGCGGUAUACUGCAAGCGGCCAAGCGAAAGCGUUAAGUAUUCCACCUGGGGAGUACGCCGGCAACGGUGAAACUCAAAGGAAUUGACGGGGGCCCGCACAAGCGGAGGAACAUGUGGUUUAAUUCGAUGAUACGCGAGGAACCUUACCCGGGCUUAAAUUGCAGAUGAAUUACGGUGAAAGCCGUAAGCCGCAAGGCAUCUGUGAAGGUGCUGCAUGGUUGUCGUCAGCUCGUGCCGUGAGGUGUCGGCUUAAGUGCCAUAACGAGCGCAACCCUUGUUGUCAGUUACUAACAGGUUCCGCUGAGGACUCUGACAAGGCUGCCAUCGUAAGAUGUGAGGAAGGUGGGGAUGAUGUCAAAUCAGCACGGCCCUUACGUCCGGGGCUACACACGUGUUACAAUGGGGGGUACAGAGGGCCGCUACCACGCGAGUGGAUGCCAAUCCCAAAAACCUCUCUCAGUUCGGACUGGAGUCUGCAACCCGACUCCACGAAGCUGGAUUCGCUAGUAAUCGCGCAUCAGCCACGGCGCGGUGAAUACGUUCCCGGGCCUUGUACACACCGCCCGUCAAGCCAUGGAGCCGGGGGUACCUGAAGUGCGUAACCGCGAGGAGCGCCCUAGGGUAAAACUGGUGACUGGGG